rnacentral:tRNA from 1 species
GUUUUAAUAAUUUAUAUAUAAAAUAUUGGUCUUGUAAACCGAAAAUAAGAAAAUUCUUUUAAAACU